UGCCUCACGAAUUCCAAAAUGAGAGGUCCAUCCUGCCCGGUGACCCGAGGGUUUAACGGCCGCGGUACCCUGACCGUGCUAAGGUAGCGUGAUAAGUUGCCCUUUAAUUGGGGGCUUGUAUGAACGGACACACGAGGGUUUAGCUGUCUCUUUCAUAGACCUGGAAAUUAAUCUUUAGGUGAAGAAACCUAAAUAAACACAAAGGGCAAAAAGACCCCAUAGAGCUUCGUUUUACUUUACUUUACUAAAAAAAAUUAUUAAUAACUUUACUUUUAAUAAAUAAAUAGACUUAACUGGGGCGGUUGAAGAAAAAACAAACUUCUUUUCAAUAGCAUUAUAAACACAUAAAGAUCUAACAAAUCUUACAUAUAAACUUGAGCCUAAUAAAAUUGCGUGGCCCCUUAAAUUUAGAUACUAAAAUACUUAGUCUUAACACGCACUACUUAUAGAUCAAAGGAAAAGCUACCUUGGGGGUAACAGAUUUAUCCUUCUUAAGAGUCCACAUUGACAGAAGGGUUUGACACCUCGAUGUUGGCUUAGGGAACCCAAAGGGUCAGCAGAAGCCCUUAAAGGCAGGUUUGUUCAACCUUAAAAACCCU
rnacentral:rRNA from 1 species